GUUGCAGUGCAGCAACCAGAAGGAGGCGACACAGGGGACCAACAGCAGCUCUCCAUUCCUCAAGUGUACUGGAAUAUAUCACACACACUGUGUGUUAUUAGGAAUCAGGAUCAGGAAUCAGGAAACAUUUAUUACCAAAAUAUGCCAAACAUACAAGGAAUUUGUCUUGGCGGUUGGUGCGCUAGGUCCAUCUGUGGAACCAAAGAAACUAGAAACCAAAGCAACCUCCUCUCAGUCCCCUGAAGAACAAAGCAGUCAUGGCCGCCGGCUGCUGGUUGCCUGGUAACGCGUCCCGGGUGAGAGCCAGGAGGCUCGACGGACAAAUGAACGACAGUUCUGUGAGGCUUUCAGUGACUUGCUGCUCUAGCACGUGAACCACGCCGUCCUGUUAACAACCUCAGCCAAUAGUGAAAGGGUCAGGCUGAGGAGGAUCCUAAUUGGCUGCAGGCAGGAGUAGGGUGAGCUGACGUCACUGCAGUACUGAAGUGAGAAAUAAUUUAAAGCUACAGGAGAUAGUGCUUUGUCACCAC
ensembl:lncRNA